UUCCAUUACGCGGAAUUUUGCGUGCGGAGCGGAAUUUUUCUUUGUGUUGUGAUUUCUCGGGUGGAACUAAUUAGAAAAGACAAAGAAUUAUAUAAAGAUUCCGCUCCGCGCGCAAAAUUCCGCCUAUUGGAA